AACGUAGGAGGCAAGCGUUAUCCGGAAUUACUGGGCGUAAAGCGUGCGCAGGCGGUGAUGUAAGACAGAUGUGAAAUCCCCGGGCUCAACCUGGGAACUGCAUUUGUGACUGCAUCGCUGGAGUGCGGCAGAGGGGGAUGGAAUUCCGCGUGUAGCAGUGAGAUGCGUAGAUAUGCGGAGGAACACCGAUGGCGAAGGCAAUCCCCUGGGCCUGCACUGACGCUCAUGCACGAAAGCGUGGGGAGCAAACAGG
rnacentral:rRNA from 1 species